GACGAACGCUGGCGGCGUGCCUAAUACAUGCAAGUCGAACGCGUCUACGUUAAUGAAAUCAAUGUGCUUGCACGGCGAUGGAUUUAACAUUAGACGAGUGGCGAACUGGUGAGUAACACGUGGGUAACCUGCCCUCAAGCAGGGGAUAACACUUGGAAACAGGUGCUAAUACCGUAUAACAACAAAAACCGCAUGGUUUUUGUUUGAAAGAUGGUUUCGGCUAUCACUUGAGGAUGGACCCGCGGCGUAUUAGCUAGUUGGUGAGGUAAUGGCUCACCAAGGCAAUGAUACGUAGCCGACCGGAGAGGGUAAUCGGCCACAUUGGGACUGAGACACGGCCCAAACUCCUACGGGAGGCAGCAGUAGGGAAUCUUCCACAAUGGACGAAAGUCUGAUGGAGCAACGCCGCGUGAGUGAAGAAGGUUUUCGGAUCGUAAAACUCUGUUGUUGGAGAAGAACGUACGUGAGAGUAACUGUUCACGUAGUGACGGUAUCCAACCAGAAAGCCACGGCUAACUACGUGCCAGCAGCCGCCGUAAUAC
rnacentral:rRNA from 1 species